UACAGAGGUCCCGAGCGUUGUUCGGAUUCAUUGGGCGUAAAGGGUGCGUAGGUGGCGUGGUAAGUCUGGUGUGAAAUCCCGGGGCUCAACCCCGGAACUGCACUGGAUACUGCCAUGCUUGAGUACUGGAGAGGAGAUUGGAAUUUACGGUGUAGCAGUGAAAUGCGUAGAUAUCGUAAGGAAGACCAGUGGCGAAGGCGAAUCUCUGGACAGUUACUGACACUGAGGCACGAAGCCAGGGGAGCAAACGGG
rnacentral:rRNA from 1 species